rnacentral:lncRNA from 1 species
GGCAAAGUGUCUGGGCAGCUUUCCUGGAGGCCUCACAAUUAAGAAUAAAUUUUUUCAUCAGAAUUAACCAAGGCCAGGGGUCUUGUGUAAUGUUUUUUCCUUCCUCCAGAAAAUCUGGAAUAAAGAAGGUCUGUAUGUAAUGCUAUGAAAAGAUCUCCAAGCUUGAAAAGAAAAACAUGCAGAAUAGUGUGAUUGUAUGCUACUACUGCAUAUAAAGGAAUGAAAAAACAAAAAACAAAAAACAAAAAAAAAAACCAAACACGUACUCAUAUUUGCUUGUGCAGCUCUGGAAGGGACACAUAAGAAAUACUGGUGGUUGCCGGGCGCAAUGGCUCACGCCUAUAAUCCCAGCACUUUGGGAGGCUGAGGCAGGGGGAUCACCUGAGGUCAGGAGUUCAAAACCAGCUUGGCCAGCAUGGCAAACCCGUCUCUACUAAAAAUACAAAAAUUAGCUGGGCGUGGUGGUGUGUAACUGUAAUUCCAGCUACUCGGGAAACUGAGGCAGGAGACUAGCUUGAACCUGGGAGGCGGAGGUUGCCGUGAGCCGAGAUCACGCCACUGCCCUCCAGCCUGGGUGACAAGAGUGAAACUCCAUCUCAAAAAAAAAAAAAAAAAAAAGAAAAGAAGAAAUAACAGUGGUUUUAACUGAGAUGGGGGUGGAGGUGGGGCUUGGCCGGGGGUGUGGGGCGGCAGGGAGGCUUUCCCUGUAUGCCUUUGUAUGGUUUUUGGUUUUGCAAGCUAUAUAAAUGAACUUCCCAUCCAAAAUUAAAUAAAUAAGAUAUAAAAAGAGAGACAUAGAAUAACAGGAAACAAUGUUCUCCAUGUCCUCGGAAGAAAUAAGAGAGGGAAAUUUUAGGCUGUGGCUUUCCCUGAUUAAACAUAAUUUCAGUUACAAAGACGAGCACCACACUGUGAGACAGGGACUCCGCAUUUCAAUAAAUGUCCAUGAGGCUCUGCUGUCAAGAGACGGAGUUUCACCGUGUUAGCCAGGAUGGCCUCAAUCUCCUGACCUUGUGAUCUACCUGCCUCGGCCUCCCAAAGUGCUGGGAUUAUAGGCAUGAGCCACCGCACCUGGCUUUCAGGUAUGUCUUUAUCAGCAGUGUGAAAAUGGACUAAUAUAUAUGUGUAUACACAUAUACAUAUACACAGAUGUUUUUCACUUGGCUUUCAACAAAGAUGUAUUUAUCACAUUUGCUUUUCAUGCAAAAUGUUGCGACUAGGUGAAAAAAGAUAAUAUAAUAGAACAAAUAAAAUACUGAAAGAAAGAGCUCUUGAAUUUUGCUGAAAUGAAAAUUUAAUGAUAAAUGAGAAGGCCUCUAUUUAACAUAAAUGUAACCCUGAAUGUGUUACCGUUGUCCUCUUUGACAUAAUAGGCAAAUGUAUUGAGCUGUAACUACUAUACACACUAUACUAAGUGCUUGAAUUUUAAUCUAAUCUCCCUACAAAAAAAAAAAAGUAUGAAAUUGCUUCCUGGUGUUCUUAGAAGAGAAAUUAAAUUUAUAACAGCCUUUUGAGCACUGUGCCCUGAGUCCUGC